rnacentral:rRNA from 1 species
UACGUAGGCAGCAAGCGUUGUCCGGAUUUACUGGGCGUAAAGAGCGCGCAGGCGGUCGUUCAAGUCGCGUGUGAAAGCCCCCGGCUCAACUGGGGAGGGUCACGCGAUACUGAUCGACUCGAAGGCAGGAGAGGGUAGUGGAAUUCCCGGUGUAGUGGUGAAAUGCGUAGAUAUCGGGAGGAACACCAGUGGCGAAGGCGACUACCUGGCCUGUUCUUGACGCUGAGGCGCGAAAGCUAGGGGAGCAAACGGG